rnacentral:rRNA from 1 species
UACAGAGGGUGCAAGCGUUGUUCGGAAUUAUUGGGCGUAAAGCGCGUGUAGGCGGCUUUGCAAGUCGGGUGUGAAAGCCCUCAGCUUAACUGAGGAAGUGCGCCCGAAACUGCAGAGCUUGAGUACCGGAGAGGAUGGCGGAAUUCCCCAAGUAGAGGUGAAAUUCGUAGAUAUGGGGAGGAACACCGGUGGCGAAGGCGGCCAUCUGGACGGAUACUGACGCUGAGACGCGAAAGCGUGGGUAGCAAACAGG